AUCAGAGUAGGAAAUAAAGCGUUAAGUGUCGCUGGGAUGGGAUGUUGCCCGCGAACGAAAGAUUGUUUAGGCAAUUUGCGGUUUUGUUUCUGCAUUCGCUGCAU
rnacentral:ncRNA from 19 species